GUAACAAACGAAAAAGGCAUAUAAACACACAUAAUCAUCACAAAGGACCCACAUCAUCAUAGCCAUUCUCUUGUUCACAUACUCCUUCAUUAACGAGAACACAGGGGGGAUUUUUUAUUUUAUUUUGGGAAGGGGAUUGCCUCUUCUUCAUCAUCUGAAGGAACACUCCAUUUUUUGGAAUCGGUACAUAAAACACCACUCAACCUUACCACAAAAAGCAUGACCCUCACCUCAAUUUUUCCAUGGUUUCUUAGGAGGGGGUAGACGCACACACACAGUAACAUACAUACACGCACAAACCAGUGAAAAGAGAUUGGAACAAAGAGGGAGAGAGAUCGGAGAAGAAAAAUCGAGAGAGUGUUAGGUAGAGAAAAGAGAUGCGAGGGAGAUAGCAGAAAGGGGGAAGUGAUCGAAAACGGGCAAACCCGGCCAGAAAACGUUGGGACUCGCCAGAAUCUGUUUUGAAUCAUCAUUUUUUUGCCACCGCCUGAGCUUCCACAAAUUUUAUUCUUCUAUCAUGUUGGCUGGGUUUUGGGUUAGUCUAUUCUCGCGGUUCGUUUUGGAUAUUGGAUUUCGGGGUUUUCACGAUUAAGUGGCCAGUAUUCGUGCAUUGGAACUCUGUUCAUCUCAAUCGGUCCAUCACUGUCAAUCUCGAAGUCGGAAUUUGAUUUGGAGAUUCGUGUUGAGGUUCCAGUUUGAGGAUUUUGAUUUUGGAUUUCUUUAUUAUCAACAAGGACUAGUUUCAUUGAGGGAUUAUGGAUUGAUGGAAUACUUGAGUGGUGUGAUUGAAUGGUUUUUGACUAUAUUGCUUUGGGAUCACUUGUAUUAUUUGGUCAGGGAAUACCCCGAAGUACUUGUAUUAUUUUAUCCGGGAAUGUCCUAAGGUAUUUUUGUAUCCGGAGGAUGUUCGUGAUGAAGGUCCAAGGCAACGAGUAAAACGUCAGAGCAUAGUUUAGUAUAGGUUAGAAUAGGAUUUAUAUUUUUUGUAUUUUUUUACUUUGGACUAUAUAAUUGGACUGAACAUUAUAUUUUGAAUUUUGAUUUGGUUUGUGUUUGUUUGCUUGA